rnacentral:misc_RNA from 1 species
UGGCUCUCGCAUCGAUGAAGAACGCAGCGAAAUGCGAUAAGUAAUGUGAAUUGCAGAAUUCAGUGAAUCAUCGAAUCUUUGAACGCACCUUGCGCUCCCUGGUAUUCCGGGGAGCAUGCCUGUUUGAGUGUCGUGAAGUCAUCAUGGGUCAUGAUCUUUAAUUAAUCAUGGCUUGGAUUUGGAGGAUUUUGUUGGCUUUUAAGUUGACUCCUCUUAAAUGCAUUAGCUUAGUAUUUAAUGCUUAGAGCGGUUCACGGUGUGAUAAAUUAUCUACACUUCGACUAAUCUAAGUUGACUAGCUUCUAAUUGAUCUUUAAUGGAUCACUUUGUGUAUUUGACCUCAAAUCAGGUAGGACUACCCGCUGA